rnacentral:tRNA from 1 species
UGGGUGGCUCAGUUGGUUGAGCAUCUGACUUUGGCUCAGGUCAUGAUCUGGCAGUUUGUGAGUUCGAGCCCCCUCACCCCA